UACGUAGGGUGCGAGCGUUAAUCGGAAUUACUGGGCGUAAAGCGUGCGCAGGCGGUUUUGUAAGCCAGAUGUGAAAUCCCCGGGCUCAACCUAGGAAUGGCAUUUGGGACUGCAAGGCUCGAGUGCGGCAGAGGAGACUGGAAUUCCUGGUGUAGCAGUGAAAUGCGUAGAUAUCAGGAGGAAUACCGAUGGCGAAGGCAGGUCUCUGGGCUGACACUGACGCUCAUGCACGAAAGCGUGGGGAGCAAACAGG
rnacentral:rRNA from 1 species